CAGCCGCCACGGUAAUACGUAGGGUGCAAGCGUUAAUCGGAAUUACUGGGCGUAAAGCGUGCGCAGGCGGUUUGUUAAGACAGAUGUGAAAUCCCCGGGCUCAACCUGGGAACUGCAUUUGUGACUGGCAAGCUAGAGUAUGGCAGAGGGGGGUAGAAUUCCACGUGUAGCAGUGAAAUGCGUAGAGAUGUGGAGGAAUACCGAUGGCGAAGGCAGCCCCCUGGGCCAAUACUGACGCUCAUGCACGAAAGCGUGGGGAGCAAACAGGAUUAGAGACCCGCGUAGUCCCUGUCUCUUAUAC
rnacentral:rRNA from 1 species